rnacentral:misc_RNA from 1 species
UCUCUCUCUCUCUCUCUCUGUGGUAAAAAGCAAGUCAAUAAAUUUCAUUUUAUGAUAAAAUUUGUUUGCAGAUGAAGCCUGGACCAUCGGCAACUUACACUCCAGGUGAGGACCUCCUCUAGAUAAUCUCCUAGGUAAGGGUGGUAUGCGACGGGGAGUCUUGCCAUAUCUCAUGUAGGAAUUGCCCUUUAAAGUAGGUGGAUAAGUGAGCUUAGAGUCAAUUUGGUUUAGAUCAUUUUACUUGAUUUAACCACUAAAACUUAUUUGAUUAAUUUUUACUAUGAAGUUCAUGCAGAAUCUAAAUCAUACAGGCCCCAAAG